AAACAACUCUCAGCAACGGAUAUCUUGGCUCUUGCAACGAUGAAGAACGCAGAGAAAUGCGAUACGUAGUGUGAAUUGCAGAAUUCCGCGAAUCAUCGAGUCUUUGAACGCAAGUUGCGCCCGAGGCUUGUCCGAGGGCAUUUCCGCUAGAGCGUCACC
rnacentral:rRNA from 1 species